GGCAGUGGUGGCUCAGUGGUUAAAGGCUCUGGAUUACUGAAGGUUCAGGAGAUUAGGAGUUCAAACCUCAGCACUGCCA